UACGAAGGGUGCAAGCGUUAAUCGGAAUUACUGGGCGUAAAGGGUGCGUAGGCGGUUGUUUAAGUCUGUCGUGAAAUCCCCGGGCUCAACCUGGGAAUGGCGAUGGAAGCUGGGCAGCUAGAGUGUGUCAGAGGAUGGUGGAAUUCCCGGUGUAGCGGUAAAAUGCGUAGAGAUCGGGAGGAACAUCAGUGGCGAAGGCGGCCAUCUGGGACAACACUGACGCUGAAGCACGAAAGCGUGGGGAGCAAACAGG
rnacentral:rRNA from 1 species